rnacentral:rRNA from 1 species
AUGAACGCUAGCUACAGGCUUAACACAUGCAAGUCGAGGGGCAGCAUGAAGUUGCUUGCAAACUUGAUGGCGACCGGCGCACGGGUGAGUAACGCGUAUCCAACCUUCCCUAUACUAGAGGAUAGCCCGGCGAAAGUCGGAUUAAUACUCUAUGUUGUAUUUCGAGGACAUCUGAAUAAUACCAAAGGUUUACCGGUAUAGGAUGGGGGAUGCGUCUGAUUAGGUUGUUGGCGGGGUAACGGCCCACCAAGCCUACGAUCAGUAGGGGUUCUGAGAGGAAGGUCCCCCACAUUGGAACUGAGACACGGUCCAAACUCCUACGGGAGGCAGCAGUGAGGAAUAUUGGUCAAUGGACGAGAGUCUGAACCAGCCAAGUAGCGUGCAGGAUGACGGCCCUAUGGGUUGUAAACUGCUUUUAUACAGGGAUAAAGUUCACUACGUGUAGUGUUUUGUAGGUACUGUAUGAAUAAGGACCGGCUAAUUCCGUGCCAGCCGCCGC